rnacentral:rRNA from 1 species
UCGGCAAACAGACUUUGAUCCGGAGAUCUCUGAAUGGGGGAACCCACCUAGGAUAACCUAGGUAUCUUGUACUGAAUCAAUAGGUGCAAGAGGCGAACCAGGGGAACUGAAACAUCUAAGUACCCUGAGGAAAAGAAAUCAACCGAGAUUCCCUUAGUAGUGGCGAGCGAACGGGGAUUAGCCCUUAAGCUUCAUUGAUUUUAGCGGAACGCUCUGGAAAGUGCGGACAUAGUGGGUGAUAGCCCCGUACGCGAAAGGAUCUUUGAAGUGAAAUCGAGUAGGACGGAGCACGAGAAACUU